rnacentral:sRNA from 1 species
AAAGAUACGAAGCCAAAGACUCAUACAGACUUCGGCUACACCAUCAAAGCUUUGAGAAGCAAGAAAAAUCUUGGUUAGUGUUCUGGAGUCAAAUAUGAAUUGUAGUCAUGUGUAUGAUUAUGUAUAAGAACUAGAACUGCAACCGGAUCUUAAAAGCCUAAGUAGUGUUUCCUUGUUAGAAGAUACAAAGACAAAGAUUCAUACGAACUUCGGCUACACUAUCAAAGCUAUAAG